GUGGGUGUCCGUUACCUGUCGGGCAGUGUGAGGGAGAGGUUGGUGUGGGUGUCCGUUACCUGUCGGGCAGUGUGAGGGAGAGGUUGGUGUGGGUGUCUGUUACCUGUCGGGCAGUGUGAGGGAGAGGUUGGUGUGGGUGUCUGUUACCUGUCGGGCAGUGUGAGGGAGAGGUUGGUGUGGGUGUCUGUUACCUGUCGGGCAGUGUGAGGGAGAGGUUGGUGUGGGUGUCCGUUACCUGUCGGGCAGUGUGAGGGAGAGGUUGGUGUGGGUGUCUGUUACCUGUCGGGCAGUGUGAGGGAGAGGUUGGUGUGGGUGAGGGAGAGGUUGGUGUGGGUGAGGGAGAGGUUGGUGUGGGUGUCCGUUACCUGUCGGGCAGUGUGAGGGAGAGGUUGGUGUGUGUGAGGGAGAGGUUGGUGUGGGUGAGGGAGAGGUUGGUGUGGGUGUCCGUUACCUGUCGGGCAGUGUGAGGGAGAGGUUGGUGUGGGUGUCCGUUACCUGUCGGGCAGUGUGAGGGAGAGGUUGGUGUGGGUGUCCGUUACCUGUCGGGCAGUGUGAGGGAGAGGUUGGUGUGGAUGUCUGUUACCUGUCGGGCAGUGUGAGGGAGAGGUUGGUGUGGGUGUCCGUUACCUGUCGGGCAGUGUGAGGGAGAGGUUGGUGUGGGUGUCUGUUACCUGUCGGGCAGUGUGAGGGAGAGGUUGGUGUGGGUGUCUGUUACCUGUCGGGCAGUGUGAGGGAGAGGUUGGUGUGGGUGUCCGUUACCUGUCGGGCAGUGUGAGGGAGAGGUUGGUGUGGGUGUCUGUUACCUGUCGGGCAGUGUGAGGGAGAGGUUGGUGUGGGUGAGGGAGAGGUUGGUGUGGGUGUCUGUUACCUGUCGGGCAGUGUGAGGGAGAGGUUGGUGUGGGUGAGGGAGAGGUUGGUGUGGGUGUCUGUUACCUGUCGGGCAGUGUGAGGGAGAGGUUGGUGUGGGUGUCCGUUACCUGUCGGGCAGUGUGAGGGAGAGGUUGGUGUGGGUGAGGGAGAGGUUGGUGUGGGUGAGGGAGAGGUUGG